GGAAUAUUGCGCAAUGGGCGAAAGCCUGACGCAGCGACGCCGCGUGAGGGAUGAAGGUCUUCGGAUCGUAAACCUCUGUCAGAAGGGAAGAAAGCAGCGGGUGCCAAUCAGCCUGCUGUUGACGGUACCUUCAAAGGAAGCACCGGCUAACUCCGUGCCAGCAGCCGCGGUAAUACGGAGGGUGCAAGCGUUAAUCGGAAUUACUGGGCGUAAAGCGCACGUAGGCUGUUUUGUAAGUCAGGGGUGAAAGCCCACGGCUCAACCGUGGAAUUGCCCUUGAUACUGCGGGACUUGAAUUCGGGAGAGGAUGGCGGAAUUCCAGGUGUAGGAGUGAAAUCCGUAGAUAUCUGGAGGAACAUCAGUGGCGAAGGCGGCCAUCUGGAUCGAUAUUGACGCUGAGGUGCGAAAGCGUGGGGAGCAAACA
rnacentral:rRNA from 1 species